rnacentral:rRNA from 1 species
GAUGAACGCUGGCGGCGUGCUUAACACAUGCAAGUCGAACGGUGAAGGCGGAGCUUGCUCUGCUGGAUCAGUGGCGAACGGGUGAGUAACACGUGAGCAAUCUGCCCCUGACUCUGGGAUAAGCGCUGGAAACGGCGUCUAAUACUGGAUACGAGCUGCGAAGGCAUCUUCAGCAGCUGGAAAGAACUUCGGUCAGGGAUGAGCUCGCGGCCUAUCAGCUUGUUGGUGAGGUAACGGCUCACCAAGGCGUCGACGAGUAGCCGGCCUGAGAGGGUGACCGGCCACACUGGGACUGAGACACGGCCCAGACUCCUACGGGAGGCAGCAGUGGGGAAUAUUGCACAAUGGGCGAAAGCCUGAUGCAGCAACGCCGCGUGAGGGACGACGGCCUUCGGGUUGUAAACCUCUUUUAGCAGGGAAGAAGCGAAAGUGACGGUACCUGCAGAAAAAGCGCCGGCUAACUACGUG